rnacentral:rRNA from 1 species
AUUGAACGCUGGCGGCAUGCCUUACACAUGCAAGUCGAACGGUAACAGGUCUUCGGAUGCUGACGAGUGGCGAACGGGUGAGUAAUACAUCGGAACGUGCCUGAUCGUGGGGGAUAACGAAGCGAAAGCUUUGCUAAUACCGCAUAAGAUCUACGGAUGAAAGCAGGGGACCGCAAGGCCUUGCGCGAACGGAGCGGCCGAUGGCAGACUAGGUAGUUGGUGGGAUAAAAGCUUACCAAGCCGACGAUCUGUAGCUGGUCUGAGAGGACGACCAGCCACACUGGGACUGAGACACGGCCCAGACUCCUACGGGAGGCAGCAGUGGGGAAUUUUGGACAAUGGGCGAAAGCCUGAUCCAGCCAUGCCGCGUGCAGGAUGAAGGCCUUCGGGUUGUAAACUGCUUUUGUACGGAACGAAAAGACUCUUUCUAAUAAAGAGGGUCCAUGACGGUACCGUAAGAAUAAGCACCGGCUAACUACGUGCCAGCCGCCGCCGUAAUAC